AACGCGAAGAACCUUACCUAGGCUUGACAUACACGUGAUGGCUUCCAGAGAUGGGAGCUUCCCUUCGGGGCACGUGCACAGGUGCUGCAUGGCUGUCGUCAGCUCGUGUCGUGAGAUGUUGGGUUAAGUCCCGCAACGAGCGCAACCCUUGUCCUGUGUUGCUAACCGAAAGGUGCACUCUCAGGAGACCGCCAGCGAUAAGUUGGAGGAAGGUGGGGAUGACGUCAAGUCAUCAUGGCCUUUAUGUCCAGGGCUACACACGUGCUACAAUGGACGGUACAAAGCGCUGCCAACCCGCGAGGGGGAGCUAAUCGCAAAAAACCGUUCUCAGUUCGGAUUGCAGGCUGCAACUCGCCUGCAUGAAGCUGGAAUCGCUAGUAAUGGCGCAUCAGAACGGCGCCGUGAAUACGUUCCCGGGCCUUGUACACACCGAGACGAC
rnacentral:rRNA from 1 species